ACGCGAAAGCCCCCUUCGGGGGGCAAGUAGAGUGGCGCACGGGUGAGUAACACGUAGGUAAUCUACCUUUGGAUGGGGAAUAACAACCGGAAACGGUUGCUAAUACCGCAUAAUGCAGCGGCACCUAAUGGUGACAGUUGUUAAAGCGGGGGAUCGCAAGACCUCGCGUCUGAAGAGGAGCCUGCGGCAGAUUAGCUAGUUGGUAAGGUAAAGGCUUACCAAGGCGAUGAUCUGUAGCCGGCCUGAGAGGGCGGUCGGCCACACUGACACUGACAUACGGGUCAGACUCCUACGGGAGGCAGCAGUCGGGAAUUUUGGGCAAUGGGCGAAAGCCUGACCCAGCAACGCCGCGUGAAGGAUGAAAUCCCUCGGGAUGUAAACUUCGCAAGAACGGGAAGAAUAAGCCGGUGCCAAUAACACCGGCGAUGACGGUACUGUUUGUAAGCUCCGGCUAACUCCGUGCCAGCAGCCGCGGUAAUACGGGGGGAGCAAGCGUUG
rnacentral:rRNA from 1 species